UAUUAACAGGUGCUUGCAGUUUGUUGACUUUUUUGAAAAAAAAAAGUCAAGUUGUAAACUUUUAUUACAAAUUAAAAAUGAAGUUCUUAAAAAUCUCAACUUGACCAGAUAUGAAACAAUUUAAAAA